CACUUACUCUUUUAUCUCCGAACUUAGAUCUGCAGCGUCUUCUUCUCUUCUUCGCUGUGAGUUUAUCUCAACUUAGAUUUGCAGCGUCUUCUUCUCUUCUUUGCUAUGAGUUCACUGUGAAUGCACUUGCGAUCACCACCCCCACCACCACAUCAUCUUCUUCUUCUCUUCUUCACUCGCAGUCACCGCCACCACAUCAUCAGCACCUCCAUCACCACUUCUUCUUCUUAUUUGCAUUCUUAUGAUUCACAACAAUAAGGUAAAUAACACCAGCAAGGGAAGGAGCUGCAAUAUAAGAAAGUUCGCUAUGAGUUCACUGUGAACCCUGAACCACCACAUCAUCAGCACCUCCAUCACCACUUCUUCUUCUUCUUUGCAUUCUUAUGAUUCAGAACAAUAAGGUAAAUAACACCAGCAAGGGAAGAAAGUUCACGGCUGCUUGGAGGUACACAUAUGCUCUUAACCCUCUUUGGUAUUACUACACAUGUUGUUUCUAGCUUCCUUUUCUUAAAACCAUAGCAGUUGAAGAAAGCAGAUCUUAGGGUUAUGUAGAUUUUGGGUCUUAUUUAAGUGACCAUGAACACCACGAAGUCCACGACUAGCUUUUGAAAGCUGGUUAAAUAAUUAAUGUUAGUAAGCUGAAUCCACAUGUCAGCUCUAUGAUUGAUCCUAGUGAACAGUUAAGAUGUUGUGGGAUUAGGCUUAUUAGCCUAAUUUUUUUUUCUUUUGCUACCACUAAUACCACCUCCGGUGCGAUCCCAUUGCCUAGCCAAGAUUCAAGUGAACAAGUUAGGUAAGCAAUAGAUUCUUUUACUACCUAGCCAAAGCACAAACAUUCAGACAAACAGAUGAAUCUAACACAUAAACACUCAGACAAACAAAAGAAUCUCGAAAUGUAUCUGCUUGAAUUAGCCUCCCCCUUAAUGUACCUCAUAAAUUAUUAUUUCAGACAUGCACAUGCGAUUGGUUUAUUGGAUUGACAAUAAGAUGUUGAGGUUUACUGUUAGUGGAACAAUAUGCUAAUUAUUGAAGACAAAGAUUUUCAUUGUAAUUGAUGUAGAUAUUUGAAAAUUUUCUUUUAUUUUGUGUUCUAUUUGCUUAUAGUGGAGUAGUAUGCUAAUAAUUGAAGACAGUUUCUCAUUAUAAUUUAUAUAGAUUUUUUUCUAAAGUUCUA